GCCAGCUCCUGUAACAUAAGCAGUCUACAGGUGGAAAGAUGGAGGCACACAUGCAACAGUUGGACCAAGCACAUUAGGCCUGAGAUAACUUCAGUUGCCAGGUGUCCAGAUGAAACACAAAAGAGGAGAGGUUAAGAAACAGAUUCCCUGGA